UUAACACAUGCAAGUCGAACGGGAUCCAUCGGGCUUUGCUUGGUGGUGAGAGUGGCGAACGGGUGAGUAAUGCGUGACCGACCUGCCCCAUACACCGGAAUAGCUCCUGGAAACGGGUGGUAAUGCCGGAUGUUCCAGUUGAUCGCAUGGUCUUCUGGGAAAGCUUUCGCGGUAUGGGAUGGGGUCGCGUCCUAUCAGCUUGACGGCGGGGUAACGGCCCACCGUGGCUUCGACGGGUAGCCGGCCUGAGAGGGCGACCGGCCACAUUGGGACUGAGAUACGGCCCAGACUCCUACGGGAGGCAGCAGUGGGGAAUAUUGCACAAUGGGCGCAAGCCUGAUGCAGCGACGCCGCGUGAGGGAUGGAGGCCUUCGGGUUGUAAACCUCUUUUAUCGGGGAGCAAGCGUGAGUGAGUUUACCCGUUGAAUAAGCACCGGCUAACUACGUGCCAGCAGCCGCGGUAAUACGUAGGGUGCAAGCGUUAUCCGGAAUUAUUGGGCGUAAAGGGCUCGUAGGCGGUUCGUCGCGUCCGGUGUGAAAGUCCAUCGCUUAACGGUGGAUCCGCGCCGGGUACGGGCGGGCUUGAGUGCGGUAGGGGAGACUGGAAUUCCCGGUGUAACGGUGGAAUGUGUAGAUAUCGGGAAGAACACCAAUGGCGAAGGCAGGUCUCUGGGCCGUUACUGACGCUGAGGAGCGAAAGCGUGGGGAGCGAACAGGAUUAGAUACCC
rnacentral:rRNA from 1 species